GGGAGCCUAGAAACAGGAGGGGAGUCAACUCUUUGAAAGGUACCAUGUUAUUUCAGGAGCAGGUUCACCCGAAAAAGCACAAGAUAAUGUGAGAACUUUUCCUUCAUCAAUACUGAUGUCAGAUGGCAGAGCUUCAAUUUUUGGUGGUACUCCUUUACAAAACAGGAGAAGAAAUACCAAGUUAGUUUGUUUCCACUAAACUUGUGAGGUGUAGCAGGUUUACUUCAAGGACUAUUUCAGGAUAUUCAAAGCACUAACUCUACCAGUAAUUCAUUGCUCACCUCUCACACCUGAUUUAAGCAUCUUACUAGUUGAACUUUCCAGUUGAGCCAUACUAGAUUUCCCCAUAAUACUGCUGGAGCUCAUCUCUACAAAGGAUUCUUUCAUGGAGGACAUGCUUUUGGCAGACAUGCUUGCAAAUUUCGUUUCAGUCAUGCUGCUACUGCUGAAACUGCUGAAUGAAGCCUCUUGUUUAGAAGCAGCCAUUUGAAAGGAUUGAGAAGAAAAACUUUCGUGCAUGCUUGCGUCGCCACUUGUCUUCAAUACUACCUCCUUUGGAGGUUCUUCAAUUAGAGCUGAGGAGCAUCACAAACAUAGAAGGAAAAACCAAUAACAUCACAUUAACUAAGGAAGUCAUGCAGUCUAUAUGGUUAAUUUCACAGAAAUGAACAGACAGACAGCUUAGCUCAGUUUGCUUUCAUUGGAAAACUGCAAUGGAGAGUAUAAUUGUGUAAAAUUGUUUGUUUCAAGAUGCCCAAGUUACGAAAAUGGUAAUUUGGAAAUGAAACAAGUAGGAAACAGAAUGGUUGCUAGGUUGUAUCAGGUGGAAGGGGAAGACGUACUUAAGAAAUAGAUCGUCAACACACUAUUUCCUAAUAAAGCCAUUAUUAGAAUGAGAAA